AAGAUCUCAAAACUUCAAGCCCUCCUUCAACACCAGUCGCUAGAGAUCCAACCCCCUCUGAGCUGCUUUCUUCACCGGCCUCUAAAGAAGCAGAAUCCUCAAGCCCCCCCUCCACUCCGGUCUCUCAAG